AUGGAUCUGACACAGGUGCUGCCGGAGGAAUUGCUCGCCGAUGUGCUCCGCCGUGUCGCACCGCGCGGCCUCGCCGUGUGCCGCUGCGCCUGCAAGGCCCUGCUGGGCAUCAUCGACGCACGCCGCCUGCUGCGCACGGACCUCCUCCCGCACUCCGUCGGCGGCAUCUUCAUCAACGUCCACAGCGAACAUGUGUCGGAGUUCUUCGCCCGUCCCUCGACGGGCCCCACCAUCUCCGGCAGCUUCGACUACCUGCCCCCUACCGAUGGGCGCUCACCGUAUCGCGGUAUAAUACAGGAUCACUGCAAUGGCCUUGUCUUACUCGAAGAUUAUUCCGAGAAUUAUUAUGUGGUUAACCCGGCAACCAGACAGUGGGAUUCUUUGCCGCCGCACCAGUCCAUGUCGAAGUCCAAAGUGAGGGAUGCAGACUUCAGAUACCAAGAGUACCUCGUGUUUGAUCCCACGGUAUCACCCCACUAUCAGGUGUUUGUGAUCCCAAAUCCUAGGCGCAAAACGAAGCCCGAAGAUUUUGGUUAUGACAAAAGGAUUCAUGAAUUAGACCCCAUUAUGGAGAAAUCUGAAUGGCCACCAUCUGUGUGCGCUUUGCACGUUUUCUCCUCAAGGUCCGGCCGUUGGGAGGAGAGGUCUUUUAUUCGAGAUGGGAAGGCUGCAGGCACCAUCGCUGAUAUGUGGGGGCACUCCGACUGCUACUAUGACAAGCAUUAUGCUGUCUACUGCCGGGGUGCACUUUACGUCCACUGCAAAACUGAUUUCGUAAUGAGGAUCUCUUUAUCAAAUGAUAAGUACCAAGUAAUUAAACCACGGAUACAUGGUGAACUCGGUGAGUGCAGAAAGCUCCAUCUUGGACGAUCAGAAAAUGGGGUCUACCUUGCAACUACUAGUUUUGAAACGUCUCAUCUUAUGGUUUGGGUCCUUGACGAAUCAUGUGGCCAAAUGAAUUGGGUCUUGAAGUAUAACAGUUGCCUUCCACCCAUACUGGAUUAUGAUCGUCCUGUUCUUGGCCCAUGGGUCUUACAAGAUGUUAACUAUAAUGAGUAUCUCAAAGAGAGAGAGGAGCGCACUGGAGGUUUUGAAGAUACGGAAUACAUGGAAUACCUAAAAGAAAACAAAUUAGAGUUAAACUCUGGCAAGGAAAAGCUAGUGGAAGAAAAGUUUGAAUGGGACUCUGAAAAUGACAACAUACUUCAUAAGGAAGAUGUGGUUGAUGCUCAUGGCAAUGGAUACUUUGAUAUCCUUGGAUUCCAUCCAUAUAAAGAGGUUGUCUUUCUGGGUGUAUCAAUGUACAGAGGAAUUGCCUAUAAUUUCAAAGAUUCAAAGGUUCAGGACCUUGGCUACUUAUACCCAACCAGUGGCGAAUCUAAGGGCCAGGCUUCGCAUGGCUUGAGCCUACCCUCAAAAAUCGUGAAUUGA
rnacentral:rRNA from 1 species